CCUACGGGAGGCAGCAGUAGGGAAUAUUGCUCAAUGGGGGAAACCCUGAAGCAGCAACGCCGCGUGGAGGAUGAAGGUUUUCGGAUUGUAAACUCCUUUUGUUAGAGAAGAUAAUGACGGUAUCUAACGAAUAAGCACCGGCUAACUCCGUGCCAGCAGCCGCGGUAAUACGGAGGGUGCAAGCGUUACUCGGAAUCACUGGGCGGAAAGAGCGCGUAGGCGGGAUAGCAAGUCAGAUGUGAAAUCCUAUGGCUUAACCAUAGAACUGCAUUUGAAACUGUUAUUCUAGAGUAUGGGAGAGGUAGGUGGAAUUCUAGGUGUAGGGGUAAAAUCCGUAGAGAUCAAGAGGAAUACUCAUUGCGAAGGCGACCUGCUAGAACAUAACUGACGCUGAUGCGCGAAAGCGUGGGGAGCAAACAGGAUUAGAUACCCUAGUAGUC
rnacentral:rRNA from 1 species